rnacentral:other from 1 species
UUUUCCCUGCGGUGUACGGGCGGGGUCGUAAAUCUCUUGGGUCAAACCUCAGAAAAGGGAUUCCGGAUUUCUAUGUUGAAUUGUGCUGUGCUUGCAUAGUACAGGAUGCACCGAAAAGGAAACCCACUUGAACAUUGAAGUUCAAGAGAUUUUUCCUCAAGCGGCAUCGCGGGGUUUUA